AAAUCGGUCCUUCUCAGGACCACCAAUCACAACACAGCACAUACAA
rfam:Acyrthosiphon pisum strain LSR1 Contig22084, whole genome shotgun sequence.